rnacentral:rRNA from 1 species
AUGAACGCUGGCGGCGUGCCUAAUACAUGCAAGUCGAGCGAACAGACGAGGAGCUUGCUCCUCUGACGUUAGCGGCGGACGGGUGAGUAACACGUGGAUAACCUACCUAUAAGACUGGGAUAACUUCGGGAAACCGGAGCGAAUACCGGAUAAUAUAUUGAACCGCAUGGUUCAAUAGUGAAAGACGGUUUUGCUGUAACUUAUAGAUGGAUCCGCGCCGCAUUAGCUAGUUGGUAAGGUAACGGCUUACCAAGGCAACGAUGCGUAGCCGACCUGAGAGGGUGGUCGGCCACACUGGAACCGAGACACGGUCCAGACUCCUACGGGAGGCAGCAGUAGGGAAUCUUCCGCAAUGGGCGAAAGCCUGACGGAGCAACGCCGCGUGAGUGAUGAAGGUCUUCGGAUCGUAAAACUCUGUUAUUAGGGAAGAACAAAUGUGUAAGUAACUAUGCACGUCUUGACGGUACCUAAUCAGAAAGCCACGGCUAACUACGUG